GAUGAACGCUGGCGGCGUGCCUAAUACAUGCAAGUCGAGCGAACAGACGAGGAGCUUGCUCCUCUGACGUUAGCGGCGGACGGGUGAGUAACACGUGGAUAACCUACCUAUAAGACUGGGAUAACUUCGGGAAACCGGAGCUAAUACCGGAUAAUAUAUUGAACCGCAUGGUUCAAUAGUGAAAGACGGUUUUGCUGUCACUUAUAGAUGGAUCCGCGCCGCAUUAGCUAGUUGGUAAGGUAACGGCUUACCAAGGCAACGAUGCGUAGCCGACCUGAGAGGGUGAUCGGCCACACUGGAACUGAGACACGGUCCAGACUCCUACGGGAGGCAGCAGUAGGGAAUCUUCCGCAAUGGGCGAAAGCCUGACGGAGCAACGCCGCGUGAGUGAUGAAGGUCUUCGGAUCGUAAAGCUCUGUUAUUAGGGAAGAACAACUGUGUAAGUAAAUAUGGACAUCUUGACGGUACCUAAUCAGAAAGCCCCGGCUAACUACGUG
rnacentral:rRNA from 1 species